rnacentral:rRNA from 1 species
GGGGGGGGGGGGGGGGGGGGUGGGGGGGGGCGGGGCGGGCGGGGGGGCGGGGGGUGGGUGGGGUGCGCGAGGGGGGAACGGGGGGGGAAGAGGGGGGUAACCGGCCCUAGACUGUGGGGGAGCUUCAGGGAACUGGGGCUAAUACCGGAUAGGAGCUCCCGCUGCAUGGUGGGGGGUGGAAAGUUUCGGCGGUUGGGGAUGGACUCGCGGCUUAUCAGCGUGUUGGUGGGGUAGUGGCUUACCCAGGCUUUGACGGGUAGCCGGCCUGCGAGGGUGACCGGCCACAUUGGGACUGAGAUACGGCCCAGACUCCUACGGGAGGCAGCAGUGGGGAAUAUUGCACAAUGGGCGGAAGCCUGAUGCAGCAACGCCGCGUGCGGGAUGACGGCCUUCGGGUUGUAAACCGCUUUCGCCUGUGACGAAGCGUGAGUGACGGUAAUGGGUAAAGAAGCACCGGCUAACUACGUG